ensembl:lncRNA
CCCAGCAAAGGCAUUUCUCUCUCCCUUCCGCAGGCAUCCCUCAGCCUGGCAACAGCAUUUCACUCGCUCCCUUCCUCAGGCAUCCCUCAGCCUGGCAACAGCAUUUCACUCGUUCCUGCUCCACAGCUCGGGAAUCGCAUUUCUCUCUUUCCCCUUCACGUGCUCCUCAUCGGGAGAAGUAAUUUUUUUUCCUCUUUUCACGCGGUCCCGCCUUCCUUCCCCCCCCCCCCCCCCGCGCGCCAGAACGCAGCAAUUCGCUUCCCCCCCCCCUCACGCGCUCCUUUGCGCGGGAGCCACGUUUUUCCUCACUCCCUUCACGCGCCUAAGUCUCGAGUCUCCCCUCGGAGAGCGGGCACGGCAUUGUUCCCCUCACAUUCCCCGACCCCCUUCCCCCCCUCACGUGCCCCUCAGCCCGCGCACGGCAUUUCUCAGCCCCCUUCCUCAGGCACCCCUCAUCACGGAACAGCAUUUCUCUUGCUCCCGCCCCACAGAUUCGGAACGACGUUUCUUUUCCCCUCAUGCGCUGCUUCAUCGGGAAAACAAGGUUUUUUCUCUUCUCACGCGGCCCCACUGCUCCGAAACGCGGCACAUCUCCCCUCCACGCGCUCCUCAGCGCAAGAAACACAUUUUUCCUCACUCCCUUCACGCUCCCGUCUCACGCCUCCCCUCAGCCCAGCAACGGCAUUUCUCUCGCUACCAUCCCGCAGCUCGGGAAUUGCAGUUUUCUCUUUCCUUCAUGCGCUUCCCCCACCGGCAGAACAAACUUUUUCUCUCCUUCGCUCGGUCCCAUUUUCCUCCCCCCCCCCCCCCCCCCCCCCCCCCCCCCCCCCCCCCACCCUCGAGUGCCGGAACGCAGCAGUUUGCUUCCCCCCCCUCACGCACUCCUCAGCGCAAGAACCACGUUUUUCCUCACUCCCUUCACGCCGCCCGCAUCUCGCGCCUCCCCUCAGCCAGGGCACGGCAUUGUUCCCCUCACUCUUCACAUUCCCCUCCUCCCUCACACGCCCCUCAGCCCGCGCUUUUCCUCAGGCACCCCUCAUCACAGGAACGGCGUUUCUUUCCCCUCGUGAGCUCCUCCAUCGGGAGGACAAAGUUGUUUUUUUUUUCCUCUCCUCAUGCGGUCCCACCGCCCCGGAACGUGGCAUUUCUCCCCCUCACACACUCCUCGGCGCGAUAACCACAUUUCACUCCGUUCACGCUCCCGCCUCGUGCCUCCCCUCAGCAACGGCAUUUCUCCCCCCCCGCCCUUCCUCAGGCAUCCUUCAGCCCGGGAACGGCAUUUCUCUAGAUCCCGCCCCACAGCUCGGGAACGGCUUUUCUCUCUUCCCUCUCACGUGCUCCUCCAUCGAAAGAACAAGGAAGCUUUCAAGCUGAUUUCCUUGUCUUGAAGAAGAAACUGCAACAAAAAUGACAAAUCUGGUUGCCUUCCUGCUGACAAAAGAAGACUUUCCUGCAUCUCAUCUGUCUGUCUUUCAGUGUCCCACUGUCACUUGACAAUGAGACAGGCUGUUCCCAUUGAAUAAUAUCUCCUCAUGUAGCGAACACUUGAUCAUUAGCGAGUUCAGUUUAAAAAGAGAUAAAUAGAGAAUAAGCAAGAAAGGCUCAUGUAUUUUCCAAAUGUAUUUUAAUAAAGAUUGUUCCAAUGAAGCA